rnacentral:rRNA from 1 species
GAUCCUGUGCGGCGACGAGCGGGAGAGCUCAAAUUUAUAAUCUGGCACCUUCGGUGUCCGAGUUGUAAUCUCUAGAAGUGUUUUCCGCGUUGGACCGCACACAAGUCUGUUGGAAUACAGCGGCAUAGUGGUGAAACCCCCGUAUAUGGUGCGGACGCCCAGCGCUUUGUGAUACACUUUCAAUGAGUCGAGUUGUUUGGGAAUGCAGCUCAAAUUGGGUGGUAAAUUCCAUCUAAAGCUAAAUAUUGGCGAGAGACCGAUAGCGAACAAGUACCGUGAGGGAAAGAUGAAAAGCACUUUGGAAAGAGAGUUAACAGUACGUGAAAUUGUUGGAAGGGAAACGCUUGAAGUCAGACUUGCUUGCCGGAGCUUGCUUCGGUUUGCAGGCCAGCAUCAGUUUUCCGGGGUGGAUAAUGACGGUUUGAAGGUAGCAGUCUCGGCUGUGUUAUAGCUUUCCGUUGGAUACAUCCUGGGGGACUGAGGAACGCAGCGUGCUUUUUGCGAAAGACUCGUCUUUUUCACGCUUAGGAUGCUGGUGGAAUGGCUUUAAACGACCCGUUUGAACACCCCGAACAAAAAAG